rnacentral:sRNA from 1 species
CAUUCGAAUAUGGAAGAACUUCAAGUGUCCCUUGAAACAGAUAACAGAGCCCUGUCUGGGAAUCAAGCCACAUCUUCCCUUUCAAGACCUGGAAGCCACCGUGGCCUGACAAGCAGUAAGAGACGCGAUAAUAAAGAGGACGAGCCACUCCAGGGCUGGAUUUCAUUUCCAGCUUAAUUAAAUCCAAGAAACACACCUGACCUCCAGCUUUGAAGAGCUGCCUCAAAAGCCAGGUGCCCUCGUCAGCUUGGGCUCACCCCGCCGAGAUUGUGGGAAAGGGGCCCAGAAGAGGGUGGAGGGAGGCGGAAGCCAACUGAGAUGAAACUGGAGGCAGGAAGCAAUAUCGCAGAGAAAGCUGUUUUAUCCGGUGGGUGAGAUCCGCUUGCCCUUCUGCUUAAAAGGUGAACAGGAGGUUCACCUGCAAAGGCGCUGAACUGAAAUUCCUCCCACGGCCCCUACGCCCCCGCCACCUAUCCCUCUCCUGCAAGCUGCUGCCCAUCCCUGCCCACACUGCUGUGGGAAAUUGGGUACCAAAUGUACUUGGUUAGCACAAGUCUCCACGGGGCCAUCAGUGCGCAUGGCUGGAGGGGUUUCCUGCAUUACACACUUGAUAUUGUUUCUGCUCCCUCAGCAAGGAUGUUGUGAUUCCGUACUGAUACCUGGGGUCCCUUUGUUCUCAGCUGUAGAAGCCAGUGAUUCCAUAAAGAGCAGGGAAGAACAGAAGAGUCACCCCUCUUGAUGGCGGAUAACUAUUGAUGAACUUGAGCGGCUAUUGAAGCAUUGAUAACGGCUCACGGCAAAGUCAUAUGAUAUCCAUCGCAGAAGUCAUAGGCAAGAGCACCAAUGACUGUCAGAGCAGGGAGGAAAAGGGGGGCGAUGGUGUAAAGAACAUGGUGCUCACUCACGGCUGCGCAUAGUGGGUUUACGUCAGGACCUAAACCCGUGGUCUAGUGCCUUCCCACUUUCAGGGUGGUUCUUCUUCCUCAGUCAAGAUUCUCUGAGAACUCCUGCAAAGACGUGCCCAACACUGUGCCUCCUACGUGGUUCUAAAGCUGAUCAGCUGACUGUGAAGAUGAACCAUCACCACCCACACUGAGUGGACUUCAAUGGCUGAGGCCCAACCCACGCUCUACGUGACCUUGAGAGGAAAGGACUAGACCAUGAUGUGCCUCCCUACACCAGCAUCUGCCUCCUGGGGUUACUGUGUCCCCUGACGGGGUCUGGAGAUGACACUGUGUGACCGACUUAAACCGUUUGAGUUUGCACGAGCACUGUCUCUGGGAGGAAGAACUUACAAUGGUGGAAACAUGCACCUAGCAUGUGUGUCUCAGACCAUUAUGUGAUGGGUGCCGGCAGCAAGUGUAAGAAUCAUCCGUCUCCUAAGGACAAGGAAGAGAAGACGCAUCACUGGAGCAUGGGAGCUUGGGUGUGGGAGCACACAGAACCCAGUUCUAGACUAUGGACACUGGGCUGGUGCUGCUGUCCCUGAAGGGCUGGCUCCCUGUAGGCUGAACAUAGGGCGUUUGAGGAGAACAACCUGGGAUGAGGAUCUCUCUCUCUCUCUCUCUCUCUCUCUCUCUCUCUCUCUCUCUCUCUCUCUCAUGCACGCACAUACACACCCCCCAUAUAUGUUCACACACUUGCAUGCUUACAUACACAC